GCAACUCGUUACGAGGUGUUUCAAGCGCUUUCUCGUGAAAUCUUGAACAGGUUGGAUUAGCGAAGUUAACAACGAACCAUCAAAAACAAACAAACAAAAUUAUAUCACCAGGCCGUGAGGAUCGCGCUAAUGAAGAGUGUAGUUCUCCUGAUAUCGGGGUGAGAUGUGGGCUGCUAUUCUACUGUGUGUCGCUUUGCUGACUACAUAUCAGACUGAAGCACGGACCACGAUGAAGUGUUCACGGCAGUGGCUAUCGAUGCAGAUAUCUUGCACAUACCAAUGCAGCACGCCAGCGGGUUACAGAGAAAAGGAAGACGACGGAUACUUAUGCUGG